rfam:Triticum aestivum genome assembly, contig: Triticum_aestivum_CS42_TGACv1_scaffold_288194_4AL
UCCAUUGCUGAGUUGGUAAAGCAUAAGGCUCUUAACCUUGUGGACGUGGGUUCAAGCCAAACGAUGGAG